AAAAGGGGUGGCAAUACUGUUCCAUGUUGAUUGGGUCUUCCAUCUUGAUAACACCUAUGUAGACGAGUUGGGCAAGCUUCUCAUAGUAGUAGGUUCAUUGAACGGAAUGCAACUUACGAUCGCUUCCAUAUAUGCACCUAACAACUCCCAAAUUUCCUUCAUUAGAAGAGCGCUAAAUAAAAUUUCUAGUAUCCGUGUGGGACACACUAUUAUCUGUGGCGAUCUCAACUGCACGUUAGACCCCGAACUAGAUAUUAAGCGCAUAGCAGACAAACAACCUCUCCAACACGCUAACAUAAUGAGCGCAACCCUUAGCACACUGCUCCAUACGCACGAUCUUUAUGAUUCGUGGCACACCCUUUAUCCGAG